CCUACGGGAGGCAGCAGUGAGGAAUAUUGGUCAAUGGACGAGAGUCUGAACCAGCCAAGUAGCGUGAAGGAUGACGGCCCUAUGGGUUGUAAACUUCUUUUAUAUGGGAAUAAAAUGUUCCACGUGUGGGCUUUUGUAUGUACCAUAUGAAUAAGGAUCGGCUAACUCCGUGCCAGCAGCCGCGGUAAUACGGAGGAUCCGAGCGUUAUCCGGAUUUAUUGGGGUUAAAGGGGGCGUAGGUGGUUUGUUAAGUCAGGUGUGAAAGUUUGGGGCUCAACCGUAGCAUUGCAGUUGAAACUGGCAGGCUGGAGUGCGGUAGAGGUGGGCGGAAUGCGUGGUGUAGCGGUGAAAUGCUUAGAUAUCACGAAGAACUCCGAUUGCGAAGGCAGCUCACUGGACUGCAACUGACGCUGAGGCUCGAAAGUGUGGGUAUCGAACAGGAUUAGAUACCCCAGUAGUC
rnacentral:rRNA from 1 species